GUUACACAUCUCGCAGCGAGCAACAUAAUCACAGCCACAGUUCAAAAUGUGGAGUUGCUUUGGGAAAGAGAAAUGGUGAGCGAAGGUCCCAUGGCGAGCAUUGAAAGUCGGCUUACAGCACUAUUAUAUAUCUCAAACGAAAGGCAGCACGAACGAUUCGUCCGAAGAGGAAUGCUUCAAAAAUUAGACCAGCGGCAUCAUUCCAGCCGGUUAAACGUAACCGAGACGAUAGCAACGUAAUCAAUGUAAAGCAAGACGAAGAUGGCCGAUAAAGUAGUAAAAUCGCAAUCAGAGGCGUCGUUGAUUUUUGGCCACUUUUUACCAUGCAACGGAAGUAUUUAGAAAGGAUAAAAAACUAUAUUUAAUAAAUACGUGCGCCAAAAAUUUUUUUUUCGGCUUCACCCGAACUAAGA